rnacentral:misc_RNA from 1 species
GGGACUACAAGGGUAUCUAAUCCUGUUUGCUCCCCACGCUUUCGCGUCUCAGCGUCAGUCACCGUCCAGGUGGCCGCCUUCGCCACUGGUGUUCCUUCCGAUAUCUACGAAUUUCACCUCUACACCGGAAAUUCCGCCACCCUCUCCGGGACUCUAGCGAGGCAGUUUCGGGUGCAGUUCCGGGGUUGAGCCCCGGGAUUUCACACCCGACUUGCCAAGCCGCCUACACGCGCUUUACGCCCAGUGAUUCCGAACAACGCUCGGACCCUCCGUAUUACCGCGGCGGCUGGCAC